rnacentral:rRNA from 1 species
GAUGAACGCUAGCUACAGGCUUAACACAUGCAAGUCGAGGGGAAACGACAUCGAAAGCUUGCUUUUGAUGGGCGUCGACCGGCGCACGGGUGAGUAACGCGUAUCCAACCUGCCCAUCACUUGGGGAUAACCUUGCGAAAGUAAGACUAAUACCCAAUGACGUCUCUAGAAGACAUCUGAAGGAGAUUAAAGAUUUAUCGGUGAUGGAUGGGGAUGCGUCUGAUUAGCUUGUUGGCGGGGUAACGGCCCACCAAGGCGACGAUCAGUAGGGGUUCUGAGAGGAAGGUCCCCCACAUUGGAACUGAGACACGGUCCAAACUCCUACGGGAGGCAGCAGUGAGGAAUAUUGGUCAAUGGGCGAGAGCCUGAACCAGCCAAGUAGCGUGAAGGAUGAAGGUCCUACGGAUUGUAAACUUCUUUUAUACGGGAAUAAAGUUUCCUACGUGUAGGAUUUUGUAUGUACCGUAUGAAUAAGCAUCGGCUAACUCCGUG